GAUGAAGAACGUAGCGAAAUGCGAUAAGUAAUGUGAAUUGCAGAAUUCAGUGAAUCAUCGAAUCUUUGAACGCACAUUGCGCCCGCUAGUAUUCUGGCGGGCAUGCCUGUCCGAGCGUCAUUUCAACCCUCAAGCCCCCGGGCUUGGUGUUGGGGAUCGGCGAGCCUCCGCGCCCGCCGUCCCCUAAAUCUAGUGGAGGUCUCGCUGUAGCUUCCUCUGCGUAGUAGCACACCUCGCACUGGGAAACAGCGCGGCCACGCCGUUAAACCCCCAACUUCUGAACGUUUGACCUCGGAUCAGGUAGGAAUACCCGCUGAACUUAAGCAUAUCAAUAAGCGGAGGA
rnacentral:misc_RNA from 1 species